rnacentral:rRNA from 1 species
AGAGUUUGAUCCUGGCUCAGAAUGAACGCUGGCGGCGCGCCUAAUACAUGCAAGUCGAGCGAGAAGACGUAGCAAUACGUUUGUAAAGCGGCGAACGGGUGAGGAAUACAUGGGUAACCUACCCUUGAGUGGGGAAUAACUAGCCGAAAGGUUAGCUAAUACCGCGUACGCUUCUUGGACUUCGGUUCAGGGAGGAAAGCGCUACCGUGGGUAGCGCGCUCUUGGAUGGGCUCAUGUCCUAUCAGCUUGUUGGUGAGGUAACGGCUCACCAAGGCUUCGACGGGUAGCUGGUCUGAGAGGACGAUCAGCCACACUGGCACUGCGACACGGGCCAGACUCCUACGGGAGGCAGCAGUAAGGAAUAUUGCGCAAUGGGCGAAAGCCUGACGCAGCGACGCCGCGUGGGGGAUGAAGGUCUUCGGAUUGUAAACCCCUUUCGGGAGGGAAGAUGGAAUGGGGUAACCCAUUCGGACGGUACCUCCAGAAGCAGCCACGGCUAACUUCGUGCCAGCAGCCGCGGUAAUACGGAGGUGGCAAGCGUUAUUCGGAUUUACUGGGCGUACAGGGAGCGUAGGCGGUUCGGUAAGCCCUUUGUGAAAUCUCCAGGCUUAACCUGGAAAAGUCGGAGGGGACUGCCGGGCUAGAGGACGGGAGAGGAGCGCGGAAUUCCCGGUGUAGCGGUGAAAUGCGUAGAGAUCGGGAGGAAGGCCGGUGGCGAAGGCGGCGCUCUGGAACGUUUCUGACGCGGAGGCUCGAAAGCGUGGGGAGCAAACAGGAUUAGAUACCCUGGUAGUCCACGCCUUAAACUAUGAAUACUAAGUGUCGGCGGGUUACCGCCGGUGCCGCAGCUGACGCAUUAAGUAUUCCGCCUGGGAAGUACGGCCGCAAGGUUGAAACU